CACGUAGGGGGCGAGCGUUGUCCGGAAUUACUGGGCGUAAAGCGCACGCAGGCGGAUGCGCGCGUCGGCUGUGAAAUGCACCGGCUCAACCGGUGCACUGCGGUCGAUACGGCGCAUCUGGAGUGCGGGAGAGGGAAGCGGAAUUCCCGGUGUAGCGGUGAAAUGCGUAGAUAUCGGGAGGAACGCCGGUGGCGAAGGCGGCUUCCUGGCCCGCAACUGACGCUCAUGUGCGAAAGCCAGGGGAGCGAACCGGAUUAGAUACCCGGGUAGUCCUGGCCGUAAACGAUGGACGCUAGGUGUGGGCGGUUUAUCCGUCUGUGCCGAAGUUAACGCGUUAAGCGUCCCGCCUGGGGAGUACGAUCGCAAGGUUGAA
rnacentral:rRNA from 1 species